rnacentral:rRNA from 1 species
CGAGUCCGAAAGGGGUAGACGAUGGCAAAUUGGUUAAUAUUCCAAUACCAACAUUAGUGUGCGAUGGAAGGACGCUUAGGGCUAAGGGGGCUAGCGGAUGGAAGUGCUAGUCUAAGGUCGUAGGAGGUUAUACAGGCAAAUCCGUAUAACAAUACUCCGAGAACUGAAAGGCUUUUUGAAGUCUUCGGAUGGAUAGAAGAACCCCUGAUGCCGUCGAGCCAAGAAAAGUUUCUAAGUUUAGCUAAUGUUGCCCGUACCGUAAACCGACACAGGUGGGUGGGAUGAGUAUUCUAAGGCGCGUGGAAGAACUCUCUUUAAGGAACUCUGCAAAAUAGCACCGUA